AGAAACUAGGGGAAUGGGUAGGC
rnacentral:piRNA from 1 species